rnacentral:rRNA from 1 species
UACAGAGGUCUCGAGCGUUAGGCGGAAUCACUGGGCUUAAAGCGUGUGUAGGCGGAUCGGUAAGUACCUUGUGAAAUCCCACAGCUUAACUGUGGAACUGCUUGGUAUACUGCCAGUCUUGAGCCAGCUAGGGGCUACCGGAACAAAUGGUGGAGCGGUGAAAUGCGUAGAUAUCGUUUGGAACGCCAAUGGUGAAAACAGCUAGCUGGGGAUGUGCCGACGCUGAGACACGAAAGCCAGGGGAGCGAACGGG